GGUUGCUGGAGGGAAGAAGCCUCUCAGUGAGGGGGUCUGCACCACAGGCCACUCUCCUGGGUCUAGGCCACCUUUCAAAGGGAGUUUCUGGGUCCACGUUCCAGGCGUUUGACUGUCCCUGGCCCUUCACUUGAGCCCCUCAGGCUGCAACUCAGAGCCUUGCACCCCAGGGAAGCUGUUCCCAGGAAAGAGAGCAGGGCCCAGGGAGAGGGAGGGUUCAGAAAAGGCACCUGUUUCCAAUGUUAAUGGAAACAACCUGAAUUUCAGAAUCAAUCAGAUCUGGAUUCGAAUCUCAGGUCCUCCCCCUGUGAGCUGUGUCACCUCGGGAAAGUCCUUUACCCUCCCUGUGGGUACCUCACUGUCCUCAUCAGUAACAUGGGGCCAAUGAUGCCCUCCCUGCAGGGGCGUGGAGGGGAGUCACUGUCAGUCAUGACCGUGGAGAAGAAGGCCCCCCACUCUGAGCCUAGGGCUGUCAGCUCUGGGGACUGUCUGCCCGGCUGCCUGCGCAUUGCUGCGUCUUCCUGCUUUCGUGUGUAUGUGUUCAUUUGGCAGUGAGCUGUCUGAUUGAAAUCAGCCGUGGUUGCAUGCCCCCUACCUAAUGCACCCAAACAGACAGGAGGUGUGCUGUGGCCCAAGGACCGUGGCCAGCACCGUAAGGGGUUGAAGCCAGUCCGCAGAUCCUGGGGGCAAGAGACGAAGAUGGGAGGGGCAUGGCCGCCAGAGCUGGAGGGGCCAAGGCUGAGUCUUAGGGAGAGGGAGGUGGGGGAGGGUAGGUGGCACAGAAAAAGCGAAAGAAAAUCUAGAAAGAGAGGGAAGAAAGGAGGAGAGUUCAAGGCAAAAUGGGAAGUCUCUCCAGGUGGCCGGUGUCCCCCCUCUGCGGCUGUUCAAGGUUCCCCAGCAGCACCUGGGCAAGGCAUCCCAAGCUGAGGGAGUGUCCCUGCACCAGUCCCCUUCCUUCUCUGGGCCUCAGCUUCUGCCUCCAGAAGAUCAGAGGAAGCUGGAUUCCUUCUCUCAGCUACCAUCCCUCCCCUCCCAGGCCCACCGGCUGUCUGGAGGGUGGGAGCUGUGAGGGUGCAGAGGAGCUCGUGGGCGCGCCAGCCAAGGGAUGCUGGGGGGUGCGGUACGGGGGUGGGCAGGCUGAGACAGAACACUGAGCCUCCGGGAGGAAGGAGUCAGAGAAAUUACCGGCAAUGAAACCUAUAGGUUUCCCCAAAGUACCGUUUGAAUAGAAAUGUCAAAUGCACCUGGAGUUGUUAUACCCUGUAAUCCUAAUGACAUAUAAUCCUAUAUACCAACUUGAUAAUAUCAUGGAGCGCGUAUGUUAAUCCUGCCUUCCUCCUGGGGAUGAGCUUUCUCCUCCCAGCAGAGCCUACAAAGCCUUCUUUGUUCUCCCCAGAGGUGGCCUCAUCCAGGCUGAGCCUGGGGAAGUGACAGUGGAAGGACCAAAGAGCUCCCAGAAGAGAGCUGUCAUUUCAUUAGGAAGGGAAUAGACAGUUGUCAUCUGGUGCUUUCAUUUGUGCCUAAUCUGGGUGUAACCUGAGUCCCCUGGGAGUUGCUGAGCCCUCCCCCCCCCCCAUCAUCAGACUCUGUUCUGGACUCUGUCUCCUCUCCCACCCUCCCUCUCUAUCCUUUUCCUAUCCUCUUAUGCCUCCUUUCCCACUUCCCUCCCUUCUUUUUUUCCCAGCAUCGCAGGACACCCUCAGACACUGUUCUUUCCUUCGAGAGCCCCCAGGGACUAGUGUACACUAAUCCUGUGGGACGGUGUUCCCUCGCUGCAGGGCCUGGGCGGGGGGAGAGAGAACAGACCAUCGCAGGAGGUGGGAGCAGCACGGCUAGUGGUCUGUGGGCAGGGGGCUUUCAGGACAGGGGACAGAACAUCAGGCCAGUGCACCCCUCAAGAUGCACCCUGGACUUGUCUUCCCAGCGGUCCAGCCCAUGCCCGUCCCCAGGACAUAAAGCUGCCUUUGCUUUCAGAGCAGGAAAUCUCCUUUUGGGCUCCUCUUAAGAAGGUGGGAUUUUUAAGGUCCAAGUUGCAGUCACCCACACAAUCCAGGAAUCCCAUCCCAAACCCCACGCUCCUGUGCUCAGCCUUCCAGGGCUGUGGUUCUGGAAGUGUGGUCCCUGGGCCAGCAGCUUCAGUGACACCUGAGAUCUUAUUAGAAACGCACAUUCUUGGUCCCAGCACCCAGCACCAAGGGCGUGCUGAGAUGGUUUGCGUCACCUUGGGAGAACGAAAAUGUGCACAUCUGCUCCCCAGCUCCACCUUUAGUGACAGUCGCCUUGGGGUCUUGGAAUCAGCUGCGGUGGGAAUAUUUACACCAUGGAAACUGGCAAACGUUACAAAUCAGUGCCUAUUUUCUUUUCAGAGAGCAGCUUCCAGCACACCACUGGGCCCCAUCCAGACCUAUUGAAUCAGAAACUCUGGAGGUGGGGUCCAGCAAUCUGGGUUUAAGUAAGCUUUCCAGGUGAUUCUGAUGCACACUCCAGUUUGAGAAGGACUCAGUGGGUCAGUGCUGGUGGAAUCAUGAAUCUCAGGGCUGAGAUAGAAAAGGGAGAUGUGGUGGCCAAGGAGUAGGGAGGGUUUCACGAGGAAACUUUGAGAAAGGUAAAGAAAGGACAGAGAAAGUGAACCAGACCCUGGGCCUCCCCUCCAGGCAGAGGGGCAGCAGGCGUCUGGCAGGAAGCCCUCCUGGGCAGAGGUGAGACUCCAGCCCAGGGACUGGGCUAAGGUGCCGAGGAGGCUGGGUGAAGCCUGCUUGGAUUGUACCUGUUUCUCCAGGUAUCCGGGUGACGGAGCCAUGCGUGAGAUCAGGAGGGCACAGAAUAAGUGGCUGGAAAAAUGUCCCUUUUGAUGAUAUUUCCAAAACAACAACAACAAAAGCACACAAGCAUUUUGUUAGAGGUAUAAGGAAGGGAAAUCUUGAAAGUUUUCUUUCAAGGACAAGAUGCAAAUGGAAAAUCACAGUACCAUACCCAUUACUGCUCAUGUAAAUGGGGGCAAAAUGCCACGGGAAUUUUCUUUGUUCAAUUUUGAAAUAUUUCAAACAUACAGAAAAAUACAAGGGGGUAAUAUAACGAAAGUCUUGCACCCACUCCCAGAAAUAGCAAAUGUUAACAUUUUGCCACAUUCAUAUCAGAUCAGUUAAAAAUAAAUAAAUGAGUAAACAAACCAACAAACAAAAACCUUACAGACAUGGCAGAGUCCCCUUUGCACCCUUUUUCCUCCUUCAAAAACAUGGCGACUGUCCUGAAAUUGAUGGAUUUUCUUUUCAUACAUGUCUUCCUACUUUACUACAUAUGAAUAACUCAUAAAUUACACCUUGCCAUGCUUUGAGUGCUUCUUAAUUCACAUAAGUGGUGUUACACUGAACUAUCAUUCUGGAACUUGCUUUUUUUCCACCUAACAUUAUGUUUCCAAGCGCUAUUCAUGCUAAUGGGUGGAGACCUAGCUCAUUCAUUUUAAUUGAUGAAUAACAUUAAACUGUACAAAUAGACCACAAUUCAUCUGCUCACCUACUUAUGGACAUUUAAGUUGUUUCCAAUUUUUCACUGUCACAAAUGAUUCUGCAGUGAACAUCCUUGAACUUGUUCUCUAGGGUAUAUUCCUAGAAGUGGUGCUGCCGCCCUUGGGAGAGUGCAUUCCCAGUGAUACUCACGUUGCUGAAUUGCUCACUAGCUUGGCUGACAGGUGGCUUGCUUCGUGCUGGAGGAUUCAUGCUGGAGGACAGGAGGCUUACCCCUGCGCCAAGCAGGUCCCAUCGGAGUCCUCACCUUUGAGCCCCGCCCACCAGCCAAUGAGGACUCGCGGAGGUGAUGUCACUACAUCCCGUUUCCCAGCCCUGCCGGGAGGAUGGGACCAGCUGGGGAAAAGAGCCAAUAUCAGAUUCAAAAUAUUCCUAUGAUGACGCCCCUGUCACUCACUUGCAUUCUGAUAUGCCUCCCUGUCUGGAAGAAGAAGGAUUGGAGUUACAGCCGCCAGCCAGGGAUUGCCUGUAGCCCUGAGCCAAUGGGCAGUGUGUCACGGACAUGUGAGUGUCAUCCGUCACCUGCAACAUGGCAUUUGACCUUGACUGAUGGAGACCCUUGACACAUGGUCAGACAUCAAGUCACUGGAGACCCAAGCCCUGGGACAAUCUGACCCAGAUUGUGUACUGCUGCCAGCAUCCCAUGAUCCAGCUGAAAGCCAAUAAAGAAAGAAGUGUUGAAG